rnacentral:tRNA from 1 species
GCCUGGCUGGUUUAGUUGGUAGAACAUGCAACUCUUGAUCUCGGGGUCAUGAGUUCGAGCCCCAUGUUGGGUG